rnacentral:misc_RNA from 1 species
AACUUUUGGCAACGGAUCUCUUGGCUCUCGCAUCGAUGAAGAACGCAGCGAAAUGCGAUACGUAAUGUGAAUUGCAGAAUUCAGUGGAUCAUGGAAUCUUUGAACGCAUAUUGCGCUCUCUGGUAUUCCGGAGAGCAUGCUUGUUUGUGUAUCAGCAAACACCUCAAAUCCCUCUACUUGUUGGGGGAAUUUGGACUUGAGCAAUCCCAACUUUUCGAAAGAGAAGGCGGGUUGCUUGAAAUGCAGGUGCAGCUAGAUUCUUUCUUCUGAGCUAGAAGCAUACUUAUUUAAUCCCGUCAAACGGAUUAUUACUUUUGCUGCAGCUAACAUAAAGGUUGAAGAGUCGCUAUGGCUGACUGAUGCAGGAUUUAACAUGUCGCGCAAGCGAUCUGUAAACUCGAUCUCAAAUCAAGCAAGACUACCCGCUGAACUUAAGCAUAUCAAUAAGCGGAGCCU